rnacentral:misc_RNA from 1 species
AUUACAGUAGUGGUGGAGGAGUUCGUGGUGGCUAUAGCAGCGGCGGCGGCGGCGGGGAUUAUAAUGGGAACCGUGGUGGCAGAUCUGAUAAUUACGGCGGGAGAGGUGGUUCAUAUGCUGAUGAGCGAGGCAGAGAUGACAGUGGCUACGCACAGGUUCCUCCGCCUGCUCAGGCCCCGUACACCGCACCUGCUGGAGGUUAUCCUCCUGCACCAAAUACUUAUGGGUCUAAUUCUGCCCCACCUGUAGCCCCUACUUAUGGUGCGCCCACGCCGAGCAGUUAUGGUGGUGGUGCUCCGGCGGGCCGUGGGGGUCCUCCGCCUAGCUAUGAUGGUGG